rnacentral:lncRNA from 1 species
UGAACUCUAAAGCUUUACCUCAAGAGAUACCCUCCGCGCCUCUCGUACUAAGGUAAAAUAUAAUCGGGUUAUCGUGCCCCUCUCUAAUAAGCUGGUCCACGGAAACCCCAACUGCAGUGACUAAUCAAUAUCCCACCAAAUCAAUAAAAGUUUCGACAGCAUGACAUGACAAUUAUAUUACUACCUAGCCUGUUAAGGCAAAACAAAUAGUUCAUACAAUUUCAACACAAUUUCCAAUUCAACCAUUUAUGCUAAUAUCACCAUAAGCCAUUCAAUUCAAACCAUAAAUUUACAAUACAAUCAAACAUUCUCCAAUUACUCAAUUUCUAAAAUCAUCAUUCAAUUUCAAAAUGAUUUAUAAAACUCAUUUCAUUUAAUCACAUUUUACUUAUAAAACAUAAGGAUUUACCAUUUAAACUCAUUUUUCUAUAAAAUCACAAAAACGAAUAAAAACUACUUUAGAUAACUAAGACGAUAAUAAGGUUACUCACAAUAUCGGGAGUCGAUGUACUCCUAAGCCCGGUCUUCGAGUACAAUCUCCUUACCGUUAUCGGAAGUUUCACCACCUAAACAUAAUGCACAACAAGCAAUUUAUUAUAUUUGUAUUAAACCGUUAUAAAACUAAUUUAGGCUCUAUAUAAAUGCAUGAAAUGGGAUGCGAAAUGUUCAUAUUAUUAUCUAAAUAUGGUGUUCUAUGUAGUUUCAAUUAUGUAUCGAAAUAAAAUGGUAUUGGCCUAAUUCGAUCUAUACACCGGUUAAUUGGCCAAUACAUCCAAUUCAACUUCGAUUAACUUGAUUCCACUUCCAACACUCCAAGUCAUCAAUUACAAGUUAAAUAAUAUGUAAUAUCACAAAAAUCCAUCAUCAAUAUCUUCCUUGUAAAAUUCGGCCAUUGAAGGUUUAGUGUAGAAUAUGUAAUUUUCAUGCUUGAUUUUUACACCUUACAUCAUAAAACAACUAAAAUCACCUAAAUAGCAUGAAAUUCAUCAAAGUCCAUUAUCCAAUUUCUCUCUUGAAAUUUCAGCCAAGGAGUGUGGGUGAAGGGCAUGAAAUGUCUUGCUUGUUUUUCAUGCUAAACAUUACCAAACAACUAAAAACACUAAGAUACCUUGAAAUCUAACCAAAUAAAUCAUCAAAUCUUCUCUCCCUAAAAUCGGUCAGCCAUGAAUCCUUCAUGAGAUCUUGAAUUUUAACCAUGGUAAUUGAAAAGAAUGCAUAGGAAAGGUAGAUCACAAGCUAGAAUUAAGAAAUUUUACCUUUACUUGCUUAAUUCCUUGAAAUCCAAUAAAUUUUCUCUUGAUUUUCUUCUCUAGGGUUUGUUCUAAGCUUUUUCCCUUUUGUUCUUAGCUUGGCCGGC